CCGGGGGGUGCUAUACAUGCAAGUCGAACGCACUCUCGUUUAGAUUGAAGGAGCUUGCUCCUGAUUGAUAAACAUUUGAGUGAGUGGCGGACGGGUGAGUAACACGUGGGUAACCUGCCCUAAAGUGGGGGAUAACAUUUGGAAACAGAUGCUAAUACCGCAUAAAACCUAACACCGCAUGGUGUAGGGUUGAAAGAUGGUUUCGGCUAUCACUUUAGGAUGGACCCGCGGUGCAUUAGUUAGUUGGUGAGGUAAAGGCUCACCAAGACCGUGAUGCAUAGCCGACCUGAGAGGGUAAUCGGCCACACUGGGACUGAGACACGGCCCAGACUCCUACGGGAGGCAGCAGUAGGGAAUCUUCCACAAUGGACGAAAGUCUGAUGGAGCAACGCCGCGUGAGUGAAGAAGGUUUUCGGAUCGUAAAACUCUGUUGUUGGAGAAGAAUGUAUCUGAUAGUAACUGAUCAGGUAGUGACGGUAUCCAACCAGAAAGCCACGGCUAACUACGUGCCAGCAGCCGCGGUAAUACGUAGGUGGCAAGCGUUGUCCGGAUUUAUUGGGCGUAAAGCGAGCGCAGGCGGUUUCUUAAGUCUGAUGUGAAAGCCUUCGGCUCAACCGAAGAAGUGCAUCGGAAACUGGGAAACUUGAGUGCAGAAGAGGACAGUGGAACUCCAUGUGUAGCGGUGAAAUGCGUAGAUAUAUGGAAGAACACCAGUGGCGAAGGCGGCUGUCUGGUCUGUAACUGACGCUGAGGCUCGAAAGCAUGGGUAGCAAACAGGAUUAGAUACCCUGGUAGUCCAUGCCGUAAACGAUGAGUGCUAGGUGUUGGAGGGUUUCCGCCCUUCAGUGCCGCAGCUAACGCAUUAAGCACUCCGCCUGGGGAGUACGACCGCAAGGUUGAAACUCAAAGGAAUUGACGGGGGCCCGCACAAGCGGUGGAGCAUGUGGUUUAAUUCGAAGCAACGCGAAGAACCUUACCAGGUCUUGACAUCCUUUGACCACUCUAGAGAUAGAGCUUUCCCUUCGGGGACAAAGUGACAGGUGGUGCAUGGUUGUCGUCAGCUCGUGUCGUGAGAUGUUGGGUUAAGUCCCGCAACGAGCGCAACCCUUAUUACUAGUUGCCAGCAUUUAGUUGGGCACUCUAGUGAGACUGCCGGUGACAAACCGGAGGAAGGUGGG
rnacentral:rRNA from 1 species